CGGAGAACAGACCUGUGAGGAGGCUGCUACCAGGAGGAGGAGUCAUUUCAUGUCUUCGUACACGUUGUUCCCUAGACUGCCCUUUUCCUCUCGGUUGCCAAACACACCCCUAUUCAGUCUGCAAGGCCCAGAGCAAAUGCCACCUUUCUUCCCAUCCUCCCCCUUAGCACCCUGUGCUUACACAUCUCAGAGCCCUUGUCUUGCUGUGUCUUAACUGUUUGCAUGUCGAUUUCUCCCCAUGACUUGCAGUUCUUUAAGAACAGGGGCUAUGUCUUUCAUCUCCGUGGGAAAGAAAAAUGUUGGUUAUCAGAGCAGAGUCCCAGAGCCCAAAGAACAGCCCAGUGGCUUUCAAACGUUUUAAAAAUCACAAACUAGAGUAACAAAUGCAUGUUAUAUCAUGAUCCAGUAACAAAUAUGCACAUGUGUGCAGAUAGACAGAUGUCUGUAAAAUGGAAACGAAAUUUCCCAAAAUAAUAUACCACAUGCAGUGCUAAUAUCUGAGAUUCUGUUUUCUAGUUUAUUCUCUAUUCAUUUUUAAAAUGUGGAUUUGGUGCACCAAAUUGAUUUUAUGAUACAUUGAUGAAUGGCAACUUGCAGUUUGAGAAAUAUUAGUGUAGGUAACACUUCAUCUGCCAUCCCCCACCACCCUUGUUUUCUGAUUUUCUGUUUGUAUUUAUUGAAUGCUUCAAACUAGGGGAGGAAGGAGGAGUUUCUUUUUUUUUGUUUUGUUUUUUUUUUGAGAUGGAGUCUCGCUUUGUCACCCAAGCCCAGGCUGGAGUGUUGUGGUGCGAUCUCGGCUCACUGCAAGCUCUGCCUCCUGGGUUCAUGCCAUUUGGAAGGAGGAGUUUUGAUUGGGAGAUUGAGCAAGAAAGAGAGUGCUACAGCAGGGAUGGAGCACAGAAGAAACCAUAUUCUGCCUAUUUUUUGUCCAGCCCCUUGGACUUGCCUUGAGCUCCUAUAAGAAGAAACUGACCAGACUGUUCACAAGAAAAUGUAUACAGAUGGUCCUCGGCAGAUGAUGAGGUAACAGCCCAAUAACCCAUCAUAAGUUGAGAAUAUCAUAAGUCCAAAAUAAAUUUAAUGCACCUAAUGUAUCAAACAUCAUAGUUUAGCCUAGCCUACCUUAAAUAUGCUCAGAACUCUUUCAUUAGCCAAAAACUGGGCAACAUCAUCAAACACAAAGCCAAUUUUGUAACAAUAAAAAUAAAAGAUCAAAAUUCAAAAUUUGAAGUACAGUUUCUACUGAAUGCAUAUAACAUUUGCACCAUCAUAAAGUCCAAACAUUGUAAGUCAAACAUAAGUUGGGGUUCGGGCAUGGUGGCUCACUCCUGUAAUCCCAGCACUUUGGGAGGCUGAGGUGGGCAGAUCACUUGAGGUCAGGAGGUUGAGGCCAGCCUUGCCAACAUGGCUAACAUACAAAAUACAAAAAUUAGCUGGGCAUGGUGGCACACGCCUGUAAUCCCAGCUACUCAGGAAGCUGAGGCGGGAGAAUUACUUGAACCCGGAAUGUGGAGGUUGCAGUGAGCCAAGAUCUUGCCACUGUACUCCAACCUGGGCUCCAGAGAGAGACUCCAUCUCAAAAAAAUAAAAUAAAAAUAAGUUGGGGAUCAUCUGUAAACUUCAGGCACAAACAAGGCUACUUAAGGGUCUAGAUCAGGGGUCUACAAACUACAACCCUUGGGCCUAAUCUAUCCAUCCAUCUGUUUUUAUAAAUAAAGUUUUAUUGGAACACAAACACGCACAUUUGUUACAUACUGUCUAUAGCUGCUUCUGCUACAACUGCAGAGUUGAGUAGCUGCAAUUAAGACUGUAUAACCCACAAAGCCAGAAAUAUUUGCUAUCUGGGCCUUGACAGGAAAAGUUUACCAAUCCCUGGAAUAAAUGAAAAGUGUUUCUUACCACUCUGGGAGGAAACCAGGAUGGCUCUGAGGCAUCUAAAGCAGAGUGUUAGGCAUGGGCAGUAUCCUUCUCAAAAGAGGGCAUAUUGGUCCUUUACAUGUAACAAUUCACUUUAUUUUAUUUUAUUUAUUAUUUAUUUAUUAUUUUACUUUUUUCGAGACAGCAUCGCACUCUGUCUGGAACACAGUGGUGCGAUCUCAGUUCAUUGCAACCUCCGCCUCCCGGGCUCAAGCCAUCCUCCCACUUCAGCCUCCUGAGUAGCUGGGACCACAGGCAUAUGCCGCCACACCUAGCUAAUUUUUUUGUAUUUUUAAUACAGACAGGGUUUUUGCAUGUUCCCCAGGCCAGUCUCGAACUUCUGAGCUCAAGCAAUCUGUCUGCCUCAGCCUCCCAAAGCGCUGGGAUUACAGGCAUGAGCCACAGUGCCUGGCCACAAUUCAC
rnacentral:lncRNA from 1 species